rnacentral:rRNA from 1 species
UACGUAGGAUGCAAGCGUUGUCCGGAUUUACUGGGCGUAAAGCGUGCGCAGGCGGUGAUGUAAGACCGAUGUGAAAUCCCCGGGCUUAACCUGGGAACUGCAUUGGUGACUGCAUUGCUGGAGUAUGGCAGAGGGGGGUGGAAUUCCACGUGUAGCAGUGAAAUGCGUAGAGAUGUGGAGGAACACCGAUGGCGAAGGCAGCCCCCUGGGCCAAUACUGACGCUCAUGCACGAAAGCGUGGGGAGCAAACAGG